rnacentral:rRNA from 1 species
UACGGAGGGUGCAAACGUUGCUCGGAAUCAUUGGGCGUAAAGCGCACGUAGGCGGUCCGGUAAGUCGGAUGUGAAAUCCCUCGGCUCAACCGAGGAAGGGCAUCCGAAACUGCCGGGCUUGAGUACGGAAGAGGGUCUCGGAAUUCCCGGUGUAGAGGUGAAAUUCGUAGAUAUUGGGAGGAACACCGGCGGCGAAGGCGGCGACCUGGUUCGAUACUGACGCUGAGGCGCGAAAGCGUGGGGAGCAAACAGG